rnacentral:tRNA from 2 species
AGUUCUGUGGUGAAACGGUUAUCACAUAUCCUUCACAUGGAUGGGUCGGCAGUUCAACUCUGCCCGGAACUACCA